NNNNNNNNNNNNNNNNNNNNNNNNNNNNNNNNNNCUGUCCCAUGUAGGUGGGAAUUACCACCCACUGGGUUCAAGACCUCAGCUCGACUGGAGACCAGGCUGUCGGUGCCUAGCCCAUUGCCCCACACACCACCACUUUACAGGUGGACCUUCUUGCUACUAUCCUCUAACUGCUAAGAUGACAGGCAUGCACCACCACACCCAUCGUGGUGGUUUUUCUCUGGAGGCAAGAGGACUUGGACAAGGAGAUAGUACAUGGACUAGCUUGCAUGGCUAUGUCCUGUGCCCAAAGGCUGAUGUUUGGGGAGGACAGAUGGUGGAUGUAUGAAUUCAUUCCUUGUUGAGGGUUUUCUGCCUACUCUUCCUGUCUGCCUGUCACUGCUUCUGGGAUCAGUCUGGCAAAAGGCCCAGCUGGUCAAGUGUACAAGCAGUGGCCUGCAUGUCGGCCUUGAGGCAUGCAGUUUCAGAUUCCAGAGGUUUGCUGCUGGCUCCCAGCCCUGCUGACUCAACUGGGGGGUUUUUCAGUCAAUUUGCUUUAAGGGUCUUCUUGUCAGACAGGUUUUCUGUGCCAGGCUCCUCUUCCUAGCAGGCUACAGUGGAACUGUCAGAAAAAGGAAUACCUAUGCAAACUUGUUGAAUAAAAACUUAACCAUGCAGCAUAAACAAGGAAAGGUGUCUGACCC
rnacentral:lncRNA from 1 species